rnacentral:rRNA from 1 species
AUGCCCGACGAGGUUGUGCUGCCGCCCACCGCCGAGAAAGACCAGAAGACGCCUGAGGGUGGCGACGACGAGGGCAUGGAGGAGCCCCCAGUAACAAGCGCUGCAACUACGGCCACUACCAUCAAGAGGAUAGCCCAACUCACUUCUGCAAGGUCAUCCUUGCACCGAAGCUUGAGUGCAUCCCCAUGCCCCUGGACUUCACCAAGCACUUCGUCGCGGUGCCGACGGAGUUCAAGCUCAGGAACAACACCGGCUGCUCCUGGAAGGUGA